rnacentral:rRNA from 1 species
GUUGUGAGGUUAAGCGACUAAGCGUACACGGUGGAUGCCUAGCAUCAGGAGGGCCGAUGAAGGGCGUGCUAAUCCUGCGAAAACGUAAGUAAGGUAAUGAACCGGUUACAACCGACGAUACCCGAAGGGGGAAACCCCAGUGCAUUCGUUGCACUAUUCAUGGUGAAACAUAGCCAUGCCAAGGCGAACCGGGGAACUGAAACAUCUAAGUACCCCGAGGAAAAGAAAUCAACCGGAGAUUGCCCUCCCAGAGCGGCGAGCGAACGGGGAGGAGCCCAUUGCCCAGAACCUGAAUCAGCAUAUUGUUAGGGAAAGCGGCCUGGAAAGCGCCACGGUACAAGGGAUAGUCCCGUACACAAAAAUCAUAUGUUGUGAGUCGAUUGAUAGGCGGGACACCGGUGACAUCCUGUCUGAAAAUGGGUGACCAUCCUCCAAGGCUAAAUACUCCACCUGACCUGACCGAUAGUGACCAGUACCCGUGAGGGAAAAGGCGAAAAGAACCCGGCGAGGGGAGUGAAAUAGCAACCUGAAACCGGGUACGUACAAGCAGUUGGGAGCACCUUCGUGGUGGACUGCCGUACCUUUUUGGUAUAAGGGGUCCAGCGACUUAUAUUUUCGUAGCAAGUUUACCGAAUAGGGGAGCCGUAGGAAAACCGAGUCUUAAACUGGGGCCGAAUAGUGCCAAGGUAUAGCCCGAAACCCGUGAGCUACCAUCGGGCAGUUGAAGGUUGGUAAGCUACUAACGGAGGACCCGAACCGCUAAUGUUGAAAGAGAUUAGCGGAUGAUGGGCUGGGGUGAAAGGAAACAAUCAAACCGGAGAAGUGGCUCCCCGAAAGCGAUUUAGGUGCGCCUCGGAACCAAUCUUCGGGGUAGAGACGGAGGCUAGGGGUCAUCCGACUUACCAAAAACGAUGCAAACUCCGAAUACCGAAGAAUGUUAUCGACGUGGAGACACACGGCGGGGUGCUAACGUCCGUCCGUGAAGAGGGAACAACCCCAGACGGCCAGCUUAAGGUCCCAAAAGUCAGGUUAUAGUGGGAAACGAUGUGGAAGGAAUAGACAGCCAAGUAUGUUGGGCGUAGAAGCAGCCAUCAUGUUAAAGAAAGCGUAAUAGCUCACUGGGUCCAGUCGGCCUGCGCGGAAGAGUACGGGGGCUAAACCAUGCACCGAAGCUGCGAGCGACGCUAGGCGUGUGGGUAAGGGAGCGUUCGGUAAGCCGUUGAAGGUGACCUGUGAGGGUUGCUGGAGUAUCAGAAAGUGCGGAACUGACCAUAAAGUAACGAUAAUGCGGGUGAAAAACCCGCACGCCCGGAAGACCGAAGGGUUCCUGUCCAAGUUAAUUCGGCCAGGGAUGAGUCGACCCUAAGGCCAGGCUGAAAGCGUAGUCGAUGGCAAACAGGUUAAUAUUCUGUACUUGGGACUGCGAACGGGGACCGAGAAGGCCUAGGCUAGCGGGCGACGGUUGUCCGGUUUAAGCAGUGUAGGCGGAGUGACUGGGAAAUCCGGGUUGCUUAUCAACGGCUGAGGUGUGAUGACGAGCACUACGGUGGUGAAAGUAGUUGAAAUGCCAAGCUUCAGGAAAAGCCCUAAGCAAUCAGGUAACAUAAAUCGUACCCCCAAACCGACACAGGUGGGUCAGGUGAAGAAUACUCAAGGCGCUUGAGAGAACUCGGUGAUAGGAAACUAAGGCAAAAUGUGCCGUAACUUCGGGAGAAGGCAUCGCUGGCAUUAGAGUAAAAGAGACCUGCUCAUCGGCGCCGAAGCCCAGUCGCAGAUACCAGCUGCUGCAACUGUUUACAUAAAAAACACAGCAACUGGCAAACACGAAAGUGGACGUAACGGUGUGACGCCUGCCCGGUGCUGGAAGGUUGAAUAUUGAUGGGGUCAGCCGGCAAGCAAGCUCUUGGAUUCGAAGCCCCAGUAAAACGGCGGCCGUAACAGAACUGUCCUAAAGGUAGCGAAAUCCUUGCGGGUAAGUCCGGAAAAAAACCUGCACGAAUGGCGAAAUGAUGCCAAGGCUGUCUCACCCGAGACUCAUGUGAUAAUUGAACUUCGCUGGUGAAGAUGAGUGAACCUCGCGGCAAGACGGAAAGACCGCCGUGAACCUUUACUUAUGCUUGACACUGAACAUUGAGCUGAUGUGAGGAUAGGUGGGAGGCAUUGAAGUUGUGGACGCCAGCGCGAUGGAGCCAACCUUUGAAAUACACCCUUUAAUGGUUGAUGCUAACCGGCCCGUGAUCCGGGGUGAGGAGCAGGUGUCUGGUGGGUAAGUUUGACUGGGGCGGUCCCUCCCAAUGAGAGUAAUCGGAGGAGCACGAAGGUAGCUAAUCACCGGUCGGACAUCGUGAGGCUUAAGUUGCAAAGGCAGUGAAGCGAGCUUGAGACUGCGAAGUGACGGCCCGAGCAGGUACAAGUAGGUCUAGUGAUCCGGUGGUUCUGAAUGGAAAGGGCCAUCGCUCCAACCCGAUAAAAGGUACUCUGCCGGGAUAACAGGCUGAUACCCCCAAGGAGUUUAUACGGACGCGGGUUUGGCCGUCGAUGCGGCCCUCUCACAGUCCCUUGGGCUGAAGUAGGCCCAAGGGUAGGCUGUUCGCCUUUAAAUGGUACGCGAGCUGCGGUUUAGAACGUCGUGAGACAGUUCGGUCCUAUCUGCCGUGGCAGUUGAAGAUUGAAGGGCUGCCUAGUACGAAGACCGGAGUGGACGAAAUCACUGUGUCGGUUGCAUGCCAAUGGCAAUUGCCCGGUACUAAAUUCGAAGAGAUAACCGCUGAGAACAGCAUCAAGCGGGAAACUUGCCUCGAAUGAGGUCUUCCUGGGCUAUUAAGCCCCCUGAAGGAAGUUAAAGACCUAUGAUGUAUAGGCUGGGUUCGUAAGUGCAGCCGAGCAUGCAGCUAACCAGUACUAAUGAUUCCGGAGGCUUAACCUAAAGCACC